rnacentral:misc_RNA from 1 species
CGGGCGUCCUCACAAAUUACCUGCAUUCAGAGAUUCAUACCGGCACAGGUCGGUAUGCGAAGUCCCUUUUGGGGCCUUAGCUCAGCUGGGAGAGCACCUGCUUUGCAAGCAGGGGGUCGUCGGUUCGAUCCCGACAGGCUCCACCAUAUUGAGUGAAAAGACUUCGGGUCUGUAGCUCAGGUGGUUAGAGCGCACCCCUGAUAAGGGUGAGGUCGGUAGUUCGAGUCUACCCAGACCCACCACUCUGAAUGUAGUGCACACUUAAGAAUUUAUAUGGAUCAGCGUUGAGGCUGAGACAUGUUCUUUUAUAACUUGUGACGUAGCGAGCGUUUGAGAUAUCUAUCUAAACGUGUCGUUGAGGCUAAGGCGGGGACUUCGAGUCCCUAAAUAAUUGAGUCGUAUGUUCGCGUUGGUGGCUUUGUACCCCACACAACACGACAUGUAACUUCGAGGCAACUUGGGGUUAUAUGGUCAAGCGAAUAAGCGCACACGGUGGAUGCCUAGGCGGUCAGAGGCGAUGAAGGACGUGGUAGCCUGCGAAAAGUGUCGGGGAGCUG